UACGUAGGGCGCAAGCGUUUGUCCGGAAUUAUUGGGCGUAAAGAGCUCGUAGGCGGUGUGUCGCGUCGGAUGUGAAAGCCCGGGGCUUAACCCCGGGUCUGCAUUCGAUACGGGCAGACUGGAGUGUGGUAGGGGAGAUCGGAAUUCCUGGUGUAGCGGUGAAAUGCGCAGAUAUCAGGAGGAACACCGGUGGCGAAGGCGGAUCUCUGGGCCAUUACUGACACUGAGAAGCGAAAGCAUGGGGAGCGAACAGG
rnacentral:rRNA from 1 species